GGAGGGCUGUCUGAGCGGCCGAAAGAGACGGUCUUGAAAACCGUUGGAGCGGGUAACCCCGUUCUCGUGGGUUCGAAUCCCACGCCCUCCG
rnacentral:tRNA from 2 species